rnacentral:piRNA from 1 species
UAGUCCACCACACUUCCUCGU